CAGUAGCGUAUAUUAAAGUUGUUGCAGUUAAAAAGCUCGUAGUUGGAUUUAUGAUGUGAUGCUCGUAAGCCCAUAGUUGUAAAAGACUGUGUCGUGCUGAAACAUCCGUCAUCCUUCCAGGAGAAAAUUUGAAAUUCCCUGAUCUCGGUUGGGGGGUUUCAAGUUUACAUUUUCUUUCUGGAUCUUUUACUUUGAAAAAAUUAGAGUGUUUAAAGCAGACUUGCGUUUGAAUACAUUAGCAUGGAAUGAUAAUAUAGGACUAUUUUGCCUAUUUUAUUGGUACAUGGGCACUUAGUAAUGAUUGAUAGGGAUAGUUGGGGGUGCUAGUACUCAGCGGCCAGAGGUGAAAUUCGUGGAUUCGCUGAAGACUAACUUAUGCGAAAGCAUUCACCAAGGAUGUCUUCUUUAA
rnacentral:rRNA from 1 species